rnacentral:rRNA from 1 species
CCCAGACUCCUACGGGAGGCAGCAGUGGGGGAUAUUGCACAAUGGGGGGAACCCUGAUGCAGCGACGCCGCGUGGGUGAAGAAGUAUUUCGGUAUGUAAAGCCCUAUCGGCAGGGAAGAAUUUAGACGGUACCUGACUAAGAAGCCCCGGCUAACUACGUGCCAGCAGCCGCGGUAAUACGUAGGGGGCAAGCGUUAUCCGGAUUCACUGGGUGUAAAGGGAGCGUAGACGGCGACGCAAGUCUGGAGUGAAAGCCCGGGGCCCAACCCCGGGACUGCCCUUGGAACUGCAUGGCUGGAGUGCGGGAGGGGCAGGCGGAAUUCCUGGUGUAGCGGUGAAAUGCGUAGAUAUCAGGAGGAACACCGGCGGCGAAGGCGGCCUGCUGGACUGCAACUGACGUUGAGGCCCGAAAGCGUGGGGAGCAAACAGGAUUAGAUACCCGUGUAC